UACCACAAAAUCGGAACUCAGAGGUCUCAGGU
rnacentral:piRNA from 1 species